CCCGGACAGCUCGUUAAAGGCUACACGGGGGAUGUUUGUCUCUGCUUGGGUCAGGUUUGACUCCAGUUUGCUCCCAACAUGGGCGGGCAGAGCAGGGGGCGAGGGGACAGGUGAGGCUGGAGAUCUGGUCCAGGUGUGAGACUCUGAAUAAGAUACAGCGGCGUGAGGGGAGGGGUUGUGGAGGUGAGCGGUGCGAUCCGGGUGAGGUGAGGCUUCCACGAGGAGUCUCUGAGUCGAACGGCCAUGAGAGGCAUCUCCUUCCUCGCGUGCGUUUUCGGGGAACAGGUGGCUGACCACCCCGGUUCCAGGUUCAAGCGGAUCACCGCAACUCCGCCUUCUCCUCCACCUCUCCAGCCAGAUUCGCGAGGCGCGCAGACCUCGGCUGUGGUGCACGUGCAGGCCGUCGUGGACCCUCUGAGCGGUGCC